rnacentral:rRNA from 1 species
CUACGUGCCAGCAGCCGCGGUAAUACGGAAGGUCCGGGCGUUAUCCGGAUUUAUUGGGUUUAAAGGGAGCGUAGGCUGGAGAUUAAGUGUGUUGUGAAAUGUAGACGCUCAACGUCUGACUUGCAGCGCAUACUGGUUUCCUUGAGUACGCACAACGUUGGCGGAAUUCGUCGUGUAGCGGUGAAAUGCUUAGAUAUGACGAAGAACUCCGAUUGCGAAGGCAGCUGACGGGAGCGCAACUGACGCUGAAGCUCGAAGGUGCGGGUAUCGAACAGGAUUAGAUACCCUGGUAGUCCGCACAGUAAACGAUGGAUGCCCGCUGUUGGUACCUGGUAUCAGCGGCUAAGCGAAAGCAUUAAGCAUCCCACCUGGGGAGUACGCCGGCAACGGUGAAACUCAAAGGAAUUGACGGGGGCCCGCACAAGCGGAGGAACAUGUGGUUUAAUUCGAUGAUACGCGAGGAACCUUACCCGGGCUUGAAUUGCAGAGGAAGGAUUUAGAGAUAA